rnacentral:rRNA from 1 species
AUACGGAAGGUCCGGGCGUUAUCCGGAUUUAUUGGGUUUAAAGGGAGCGCAGGCGGUGAUGCAAGCGGGACGUCAAAUUUCGGGGCUCAAUCCCGUCUCGCGUUGCGAACUGCGUCACUUGGUUGCGGGAAGGGGAGGCGGAACUCGAGGUGUAGCGGUGGAAUGCAUAGAUAUCACGAAGAACUCCGAUCGCGAAGGCAGCCUUCCGGGCCGUCAACGACGAUCAUGCUCGAAGGUGCGAGUAUAAAACAGGAUUAGAUCCCCUGGUAGUCCGCACAGUAAACGAUGGACACCCGCGGUUUGGCCUGUAUGGCUGAGCCGCGAAGCGAAAGCGUUAAGUGUCCCGCCUGGGGAGUACGCCGGCAACGGUGAAACUCAAAUGAAUUGGCGGGG